UCUCGAUCGCGUAAAAGUUAACUCAAAUUUGUAUGGAGUUGGAAUGUUUGCCUACGUUUACCUCUAGGAUCGUUGUUCCAACUUCAUACAAAUUCGAGUUAACUUUUGCACAAUCGA
rnacentral:pre_miRNA from 9 species